AUCCCCUCUCAGAUCUCCCUGCCGCCGACUCUUCGUAACCGCCGCCCACGUACGAACUCCCUCUCCCCACAUCGACGCCCUCCCACUAGGGGCUUGCCGUUGUCAUGCCCUUCACCACCGCGUCCUCAUGCCUCGAGGCCAUCCCCAACAUCGUCGUGCGCGUCGAGCUCCUCUGCUCCGCCCAGAUCUCUUCAACCCUUUCCCUCUCUCCUCUGCUCCGUGUCCUCGUGCCUCAAGGCCAUCUCCAACCUUCCCGACCGUGGUGGCGUUAGGCGAGCAGCACGCAGCGGCAUCUGCCCCUGGCACAACUCAUCCAUCCUCAACCAGGUAAUUAGCCCUACACGCAUGUUCAUAACUGCACACACGUAUGCCUUUGAAUCCUACUGAUUUUCCAUCGACCACAAAUCCCUCGAGGACACGGCGCUCCUCUCCCGAACGAGGUCCCGAUCCGCUCCUCCUCCUCUCCCGAGGAUACGCAGCCGCCGCCGCCGAUCCGGGCAGACGCGGCCAUCGUGGAUCACGUGAACGCCGCCGCCGACUGCCGCCGCGGACCUCCCAGGGCGCACGAGAUCGCCGCCGCCGACCUCACGGGGGAGGGGCGAGCGAUCUCGCCGCCGCCGACCUCACAGGGAAGACGCCCUCUCAUCUCGCCGCCGCCAACCUCACAUGGAAGACGGAUCUCGUCGCCGCGGAUCUGACAUGACAGGGGAGGACCAACUGGUGAAAUAGCUGCAGAAUUACAGGUACGGUGAUGGAAAUCUUGUGGCACCAUUCCUAUCUUAAGAUGGGAAUUACUCAGUGGACAUCUGGAUGACCGAACGAAACCAAUUCUCUUCUCCAUGGCAAGACUUGACCGAGUUAAAAAUAUGACAAAUUGUGACCAAUUUUUCUGUCUCUGCUCUCUUGCAUUAUUUUCAUAUUCAUAUGUUUAUCUCCAGAUCAAAGCCAGAGUGAAGGCGAAGAUCUGGCGAAGGAGGUAGUAUCCGCCUCUUCGGAGACUUACUCCGCUCCGUCCUGCAACACGUGAAGAGCUAGCUCGGAAGGCUUCCAUUCUUGCAGAGGUUUUCUCCAAUCUUUAAUGGUAAAGAUUUUUGUGGUAGGAAUCUCAUUUUCAUUAUUGGUUAUUGUCUUGAACCUGAAACAUUUGAUUGCAUCUUUGUUGCUUGCUUCUUCAAACAUGAGCAUAUGAUGGAACAGUCUGAAGGUUAAUUCAAAUGUAGUGAAAGUUUGAAGGUCAAUGGGUUUUCCAUAUUAAACUUUCAAACAAACCAUUCAUCGACGUCGUGGGAUUCACCUCCGCCAAUGACCAUCACCACCACGACGCCGCCUACGCGAUGUCGCCUGAGGUGAAUGAGUAGCAGCCCACGACGCAUGCGCGGUGGGUGGCUCAUCCGAGCUGAUGCGCCCACUGCAGCGUUCCCAGCAGCAAGAAGUGUGCCGCGUGCAAGCUUAUGUAGUACUGGAAAGCCUCCACCUAUGAUUGGUUUUAUCAUAAAAACUGGUUAGAUAUCGCCGCUGGCGUGGUCACUUCUCCCCACUACCGAAAGCUCUGCGCCGCUAACAGAACGCCCCACCAGUCUCCACCUCCGUUGGCGCCGUCGAGAGCCUCGACUAUGAGGAGCAGGUUUUGCAACUAAGAGCUGAUCAUACCUAUCUUGCCCCCAUUAUCCAGGUUAGCCGCAAGGGACUCCUGAUUUUAAAUACGUUGUUUGCUGUUGCAUUGCAGGUCCUUCAGGUUCGGUGUGGCAACUUUUUCGUGAUAACAUUUUGAGAUUUCUCCACCAAUCGGCAAAAUUUGGUGCUUAUAAAUAGAAAAUCAAUACCAAACGGAGUCCAAAUGCAACGAAACUUCAUGGAGAUUUUUUAUGGACCAGAAGACCAAUAGUGGGCCAAAUAAGCACCUGGGGGGUGCCUCGAGGGGGGCACAACUAAUCGGGAGCCAGUUCCGGCACCUUGCCGGAGGGGGAAAUCAUCACUGGUGGUCAUCUUCAUUAUUCCGGCGGCCACCACGAUAAGGAGGGAGUAGUCCACCCUCGGUGUUGAGGGUUUGUACCAGUAGCUAUGUGUUUAAUCUCUCUCUCGUGAUCUAUAUCAUGGGCUUUGUUAAUAUAGAUGGAUUAUAUGAUGUUUCUCCCCUCUACUUUUGUUGUGAUUAAUUGAAUCUUUACCCUUUGAAGUUUUGUCUUGUCGGAUUGAAUAUUCAGAUAUGAGAACACAUGAUGUAUGUCUUGCAGUAUGAUUACUUGAGGUAUGAUUACUUGAGGUGACAA